rnacentral:lncRNA from 1 species
GGGCAGCCGCUCCCCUCCAGCUGUUGGGUUUUUUUUAUUAUUUAUUAUUACAGAUAGAAUCCUGGAAAACGACAGAGCAAACCAUGGCUACAGCCUUCUUCCAGCACUCCACUGGAGACGAGUCAACAUUCGAUAGGAGAGAUCCCAGGACUCCAUGGCCACAUGCUGAGGAAGCCUCAGCGCUGGACACGGACACGAGCCCAUGACACGUCAACAUUCGACAGGACAGAUCCCUGGACUUCAUGACCACAUGCUGAGGAAGCCUCAGCGCUGGACACCGAUGCGAGCCCCUGACACCUCAGCGUUCGACAGGAGAGAUACUUGGACUCCAUGGCCACAUGCUAAGGAAGAUAGAAUGCUGGAAAACAACAGAGUAAGACCAUGGCUACAGCCUUCUUCCAGCACUCCACUGGAGACGGGUCAACAUCAGACAGGAGAGAUCCCUGGACUCCACGGCCACUUGCUAAGGAAGCCUCAGCGCUGGACACAGACGCGAGCCCAAGACACGUCAACAUUCGACAGGACAGAUCCUUGGACUUCAUGGCCACAUGCUGAGGAAGCCUCAGUGCUGGACAUGGACACGAGCCCAUGAUACCAUGCUCCUGGCUGCCUCUCCUUGACGCUCCGCUGGAGACGCUGCAGCAUCCCACGGGACAGUCCUACAGAGGA